rnacentral:tRNA from 1 species
GCGGACGUGGCGAAAUCGGUAGACGCAGCGGACUUAAAAUCCGCUUCUCAACGAGAGUGCGGGUUCAAGUCCCGCCGUCCGCACCA